rnacentral:rRNA from 1 species
UACGUAGGUGGCAAGCGUUGUCCGGAAUCAUUGGGCGUAAAGAGCGCGUAGGUGGAUUGUCAGGUCUGGUGUGAAAUUUCGGGGCUCAACCCCGAACGUGCAUUGGAAACCGGCUUUCUAGAGUCUGGGAGAGGAGAGUGGAAUUCCUGGUGUAGCGGUGAAAUGCGUAGAUAUCAGGAGGAACACCGGUAGCGAAGGCGGCUCUCUGGAACAGUACUGACACUGAGGCGCGAAAGCUAGGGGAGCGAACAGG